AGUGAACGCUGGCGGUAGGCCUAACACAUGCGAGUCGAACGGCAGCACAGUAAGAGCUUGCUCUUACGGGUGGCGAGUGGCGGACGGGUGAGGAAUACAUCGGAAUCUACUUUUUCGUGGGGGAUAACGUAGGGAAACUUACGCUAAUACCGCAUACGACCUACGGGUGAAAGCAGGGGAUCUUCGGACCUUGCGCGAUUGAAUGAGCCGACGUCGGAUUAGCUAGUUGGCGGGGUAAAGGCCCACCAAGGCGACGAUCCGUAGCUGGUCUGAGAGGAUGAUCAGCCACACUGGAACUGAGACACGGUCCAGACUCCUACGGGAGGCAGCAGUGGGGAAUAUUGGACAAUGGGCGCAAGCCUGAUCCAGCCAUACCGCGUGGGUGAAGAAGGCCUUCGGGUUGUAAAGCCCUUUUGUUGGGAAAGAAAAGCAGCAGGUUAAUACCCCGCUGUUCUGACGGUACCCAAAGAAUAAGCACCGGCUAACUUCGUG
rnacentral:rRNA from 1 species